rnacentral:piRNA from 1 species
UAAAACAUUCAUAGAAAAGGCAUUAGGACC